AGGAGACCUUGACCUUGGGUGAAGAGAUAGAAGGUAGAUGCUACAGGGGACAGAGGACCUCAGAAGAAAGAAUUUAUGGCUGGCAAAAUUACAGACCAGGCAUGGGUACAGGGGAACAAGAAGGUGCCAGGAGAUAAGUACAGCUGAGCUGGAGGCUGCUUCUGCCUGCCUCUCAGGCAGGACCGGAAGACCACUGGGGGGAGUCCACUGUCACUGCAUGCCAAAGCACUGUCUCUUUACUACCCACUGCAGGAGCCCAAUCAAGGAGGCUCAUCCCUGGUGCACUUCUACAAGGAGCAAGUCUUGUGUAUGCUGCCACACCUGGUCCUGAGUUCACCGUCUUCUCUGAGAAGCAAUCAUAUAGGCUUCCUCUUUGGGUUGGGAGCAGAAGAGCUCUGAGGGCUGGCUGGGCCACCAUGGUGAACCCUGGGAACUCAGAACUCUUGGCUCCCUCCAAGUGCAGGUUUAAAGGACAAUACAGUGGUAGAUGAGCCCAGAGGACAAGAAGCACAUAAAAAACAACAACAACAACAACAACAACAACAACAACAAAAAACCAUUGAGCUGUUUUCUCUGGAUAACCAAGGGCACAGCUUCUCUCCAUGAAGCGGUGUGGCUGGAAUGUGUGCAUUUUAGUACUUCUGCCUUGUCUGGGACAUCACACAUCACUUCAUUUGCUCCACCCCCAACAACCCCAAGAAGGAGAUGCGUUAUUAUCCUCAUAUUAUAGACGAAGAAAUCAAAAAGCAUUCCCAAGGUCACCUGGCUGUCUAACUGCAGAACUGGGAUGUGGGAGUGUCUCUUUGACUCCAGUGUCCCCGUGCACAACUGCUAGUCCCUGCAAAGCUGUAGUCUGGAGG
rnacentral:lncRNA from 1 species